GGUGGGCAUGGUGGUGCAUGCCUGUAAUCCCAGUGGCUGGGGAAGCUGAGGCAGGAGAAUUGCAAGUAAGUUCAAAGCCAGCCUCAG
rnacentral:sRNA from 1 species